GUAACAAGGCUCCGUAGGGUGAACCUGCGGAGGGAUCAUUACACAAAUAUGAAGGCGGGCUGGAACCUCUCGGGGUUACAGCCUUGCUGAAUUAUUCACCCUUGUCUUUUGCGUACUUCUUGUUUCCUUGGUGGGUUCGCCCACCACUAGGACAAACAUAAACCUUUUGUAAUUGCAAUCAGCGUCAGUAACAAAUUAAUAAUUACAACUUUCAACAACGGAUCUCUUGGUUCUGGCAUCGAUGAAGAACGCAGCGAAAUGCGAUAAGUAGUGUGAAUUGCAGAAUUCAGUGAAUCAUCGAAUCUUUGAACGCACAUUGCGCCCUUUGGUAUUCCAAAGGGCAUGCCUGUUCGAGCGUCAUUUGUACCCUCAAGCUUUGCUUGGUGUUGGGCGUCUUGUCUCUAGCUUUGCUGGAGACUCGCCUUAAAGUAAUUGGCAGCCGGCCUACUGGUUUCGGAGCGCAGCACAAGUCGCACUCUCUAUCAGCAAAGGUCUAGCAUCCAUUAAGCCUUUUUUUCAACUUUUGACCUCGGAUCAGGUAGGGAUACCCGCUGAACUUAUGCAUAUCAAUAAGGCGGAGGAAAA
rnacentral:rRNA from 1 species